rnacentral:rRNA from 1 species
AGGGAGUUUGAUCCUGGCUCAGGACGAACGCUGGCGGCGUGCCUAACACAUGCAAGUCGAGCGGAGACAUGCGACGGAACUGAAGUUUUCGGAUGGAAGUGAAGAUGUAUGUUUUAGCGGCGGACGGGUGAGUAACGCGUGAACAAUCUGUCCUUCACAGGGGGAUAACACAGCGAAAGUUGUACUAAUACCGCAUGAGACCACAGUACUGCAUGGUACAGGGGUCAAAGGAGCAAUCCGGUGAAGGGUGAGUUCGCGUCCGAUUAGAUAGUUGGUGAGGUAACGGCCCACCAAGUCGACGAUCGGUAGCCGACCUGAGAGGGUGAUCGGCCACAUUGGGACUGAGACACGGCCCAAACUCCUACGGGAGGCAGCAGUGGGGAAUAUUGGGCAAUGGGGGAAACCCUGACCCAGCAACGCCGCGUGAGGGAAGAAGGUUUUCGGAUCGUAAACCUCUGUCCUUGGUGAAGAGAAAGAGACGGUAGCCAAGGAGGAAGCCCCGGCUAACUACGUGCCAGCAGCCGCGGUAAUACGUAGGGGGCGAGCGUUGUCCGGAAUGAUUGGGCGUAAAGGGCGCGUAGGCGGCCCGGUAAGUCUGGAGUGAAAGUCCUGCUUUUAAGGUGGGAAUUGCUUUGGAUACUGUCGGGCUUGAGUGCAGGAGAGGUAAGUGGAAUUCCCAGUGUAGCGGUGAAAUGCGUAGAGAUUGGGAGGAACACCAGUGGCGAAGGCGACUUACUGGACUGUAACUGACGCUGAGGCGCGAAAGUGUGGGGAGCAAACAGGAUUAGAUACCCUGGUAGUCCCCU